AGCCUACGGGGGGCAGCAGUGAGGAAUAUUGGUCAAUGGGCUUACGCCUGAACCAGCCAAGUCGCGUGAGGGAAGACUGCCCUAUGGAUUGUAAACCUCUUUUGCCGGGGAGCAAAAAGCGGUACGUGUACCGCAUCGAGAGUACCCGGAGAAAAAGCAUCGGCUAACUCCGUGCCAGCAGCCGCGGUAAUACGUAGGUGACAAGCGUUGUCCGGAUUUACUGGGUGUAAAGGGCGCGUAGGCGGGAUAGCAAGUCAGUCGUGAAAUGCCGAGGCUUAACCUCGGAGCUGCGAUUGAAACUGUUU
rnacentral:rRNA from 1 species